UAUGACCAUAUCACGUUAAAACACAGAUUUUCGUACGAUCACUGAAGUUAAGUAACGUCGACCCUGGUCAGUACCUGGAGGUGACCCUUUGGGAAUACCAGGUGCUGUAAG